ACCGGGGUGGCUUAGUCAGUUGAGCAUCUGACUUCGGCUCAGGUCAUGAUCUCACAGUUGGUGGGUUCAAGCCCCACGUCCGGCU
rnacentral:tRNA from 1 species